AAUUUAAUUUUCACCAAAUUUCCAUUUUUGCGGCGUCCCUACUAGAAAUCAUAAUGUACUAUUACUGGAAGAUACAGUUUAUGAUCUUAAAAACGAAUUUGAUUUGUGUCUUUACUUCACGUCAUUCAUAAAGAAACAAAAUGGCGUUUUCGAGCGAGUUCGAGGUUGCAAUUCUUAAGAAAAAGACGUUCUCUCGCGAAAUUUUCUGCAUCGUAACGCAAGCUAUACCGCAAUCGGUGCGGAAACAGUGGCCGAUGGAACCAGUGUGGAAAAAAGCGAAACUUUACGAGGUGGUUUCUACAGGAAUUGUACGAAAGAAGUCAACUCAGAAGAUAUUUUAUCCGAAGAACUGGAUCUUACAGCUUGAAAGGAACUGUAAAUUAGACAGGCCAAAAAUUUGUUCCGGUAUAAAUAAUACCAGUGCCGUUUCCCCAGCAGCAGUGGAGGAUAGAGCUCGGACCAAACCAAGCUUUUGACCUAUGCUUUAACGGCAGCUGAAUAGCAAUGUUGCCGAUGGAAUGGCACAGGAAAUUGUCGACAGAAAUAGUAUCGUUAGGCGGGAAUGGAAAAUGAAAGAAGCGAAUACUUUCCUGUCGCUGCUGUUUCAAUCGUACCGGUACCGGUAAUUCAAACUCCCGGAAGGUGUGCCGAACCUCGGUCAAGCUGGAAGAAUCGGCCCGUGGAGCAUGAAUCAUCACCGGAAGGAUUAUUCUACAGUGUUUCAGAUGCGACGAGGAAGUGUGGUCAGUGGAGGAAGUUUACAAAAGAGUCGAAGUAGUUCAAGUUAAAAGUUUGUGCUAACAAUUUAGUGUCCGCGGCUACCGGUGAUAGAAUUGGAAGCGCCACUGAAGCUGUUCAACAUCCAAAAAAACAACGAAACGCUGCCGACAGAGCUGUGCUCGCCUAAGUUUUCUUCGUUCCCGAGCUGUGCCUCGAUCGAAAAUGACGCCAGUCUGCUCAAGGUGAGCGGUUCGAUGGCUACCAAAUGGAAACGGCUGAUGGAAAACUUCUCUUCUUUGGAUGCACUCAAGAACAAUGCCGCGGAGCAGUUCGAUGCUCGUGAAUUUUUUUCUCAAACUUUUGGAGUUCAAUCAAGAGAUGUGAAUUUUGUGGCCAGCAACGGGAACGUUACCUUCGACGCAGCAGAACAGAUAUUCUCCGCUGCGUGAACUUAUGCUUCACCUGGUUCUCUUACGGCUGAGGUUAAUAACU